rnacentral:lncRNA from 10 species
UGGUGUAAAAUCUGGUGCAUAGUAUGUGCACAAUAAAUCUCAGCUUUGCUUGCUUGCUUGGUUGAUUGAUUUUGUCUGUACUGUACUAAACUUAGUUUGGGGACUAAAUAUACAAAUACAAAUCAUACAUAUAUACCCAUUGUUUUUAGGAGCCUACGUCUUCUGGGAAAAGCAGGUGUGUUUGGUAAUUAGAAGUGUUUGAUAAUACCCAGGGAGGUAUUUAUAAGCACUGUGGGUGUCUAGUGUGCUGGGCCUAAAUCAGCCUGAAAAAUAAGAGGUAUCAUCUGUGGAUUUUCAAGUCCUUUAUCCCAUUUAACCCCCUAGAGAACCCUGAGAGGUUGGAAAUAUUGCCCCAUUUCAACAGAAGGCCCAGAAAAAUCAAGGCACAGUGGCCAGCAUUCUCUGCUGCACCUGGAAGGUACUAGACACCCUGAGGCAUCCUUGCUAGCGUACUCCUCAUGGGUGAGGCCUAAGCUGUGGCCACUGCAGAGGUCCAGAUACUUCCAGGAAGGUCUGAUUGUCAGUGAGGCAGUCUCUGUGUGCAGCCAGGAAUCUCUGAGUGCAAAGGACAGAGGAAUAGAAAUCUAGCAGGACAGGCUUGGCUCCAAUCCCACAUCUCAGGGCCAGAGAGCAGAAGAGAUUCUGAAUGGAGUGAGAUGACCAUCUCUGGUCUCUUACUUAGGCCCAGUCCACAGGCUCAUGUCUGGGGCCCCGGGGGAGUGAGGGCAGCAAAGAAGAACAGACAAUGGGCUCCACGCAGACCUCUGCAACACACUGGAGCCUGAGCCCAAUGCUGCACGACCCAUCAACUACAAGAAGGAGGGAGAAGGUGUAUGACCCCCCCUACACCCGCAACUCUCCCAUGAUCUCCAUGGAGACCCAAAGAUAUACACUGCAGCACCCAGCAAAGAUGUGGUACUUGGUGUUGGAGUGUGGAUAUGAGUCAUGGAACUCUGGGGCUAUGUUGCUGCCAGGCCCUCAAUGGAUUGGAUGGUGUCCACCUGCAUAAUUGAAGGUGGAUCUUCUUUACUCAGUCGACUGAUUCAAAUGCUGAUCUCUUCCAGCAACACCCUCACAGACACACCAGAAAUAAUGUUUUACCAGCUAUCUGUGUAUCCCUUAGCCCAGUAAA